GAUGAAGAACGUAGCGAAAUGCGAUAAGUAUUGUGAAUUGCAGAAUUCAGUGAAUCAUCGAAUCUUUGAACGCACAUUGCGCCCGCUAGUAUUCUGGCGGGCAUGCCUGUCCGAGCGUCAUUUCAACCCUCAAGCCCCCGGGCUUGGUGUUGGGGAUCGGCGAGCCUCCGCGCCCGCCGUCCCCUAAAUCUAGUGGCGGUCUCGCUGUAGCUUCCUCUGCGUAGUAGCACACCUCGCACUGGGAAACAGCGCGGCCACGCCGUUAAACCCCCAACUUCUGAACGUUUGACCUCGGAUCAGGUAGGAAUACCCGCUGAACUUAAGCAUAUCAAUAAGCGGAGGA
rnacentral:misc_RNA from 1 species